rnacentral:rRNA from 1 species
GAUUAACGCUGGCGGCGUGCAUAACACAUGCAAGUCGAACGAUGAAACUUAGUAGACUUCUUCGGAAAGACACUAAGCGGCUUAGUGGCGAACGGGUGAGUCACGCGUGAGUAACCUGCCUUACACAAGGGGAUAGCCUUUGGAAACGAAGAAUAAUACCCUAUAAAACCAUAAAAGCACAUGCUAGAAUGGUCAAAGUGAUAGCGGUGUAAGAUGGACUUGCGUCUGAUUAGCUAGUUGGUGAGAUAAAAGCUCACCAAGGCAACGAUCAGUAGCCGGCUUGAGAGAGUGUACGGCCACAUUGGGACUGAGACACGGCCCAGACUCCUACGGGAGGCAGCAGUGGGGAAUUUUGCACAAUGGGGGAAACCCUGAUGCAGCGACGCCGCGUGAUUUAGAAGGCCUUCGGGUUGUAAAAAUCUUUUGUAUAGGAAGAAAAUGACAGUACUAUACGAAUAAGGUCCGGCUAAUUACGUG